GGGGGCUGUAGCUCAGUGGUAGAGCGCGCGCUUAGCAUGCACGAGGCCCUGGGUUCAAUCCCCAGCACCUCCA